rnacentral:rRNA from 1 species
GAAGGAAGAGCUUGCUCUUCCUGAAAGUGGCGAACGGGUGAGUAACGCGUGGGUAACCUACCCUUUGGAAAGGAAUAGCCUCGGGAAACUGGGAGUAAUGCCUUAUAAGAUACGUUUGUCGCAUGGCAUUUGUAUUAAACGCUCCGGCGCCAUAGGAUGGACCCGCGUCCCAUUAGCUAGUUGGUGAGAUAACAGCUCACCAAGGCCACGAUGGGUAACCGGUCUGAGAGGGCGAACGGUCACACUGGAACUGAGACACGGUCCAGACUCCUACGGGAGGCAGCAGUGGGGAAUAUUGCGCAAUGGGGGCAACCCUGACGCAGCAAUACCGCGUGAGUGAAGAAGGUUUUCGGAUCGUAAAGCUCUGUUAUUGGAGAAGAAAAAAAGACGGUACCCAAGAAGAAAGUUCCGGCUAACUACGUGCCAGCAGCCGCGGUAAUACGUAGGGAACAAGCGUUGUCCGGAUUUACUGGGCGUAAAGGGCACGCAGGCGGUUUUUUAAGUCAGAUGUGAAAGGCCACAGCUCAACUGUGGACAUGCAUUUGAAACUGAAAGACUUGAGUAUUGGAGAGGCAAGUGGAAUUCCUAGUGUAGCGGUGAAAUGCGUAGAUAUUAGGAGGAACACCGGUGGCGAAGGCGGCUUGCUGGACAAAUACUGACG